CCUGGGGCUGCUGUGAGAGCAACAACACUGACUCAUCCUUCAAGACCCGGCUCAGGACAUCUGUGGAAGCCACUUCACUGCCCUUGGGCAGAGUCAGUCACUGUGCCCUCAGUCUGCCUCGCUCACACCCUCUCCUCUGAGGUCAUUUCCUGGUGCAGAGCUUGGCACACAGGGGCUGCUCAGCGAGGGUCUCAUGAACAUAUGGGCACACGGUGGACAGUGGGCAGGUGGGCGACUGGUGUGGAGGGAAAGCCCUGCAGCUGGGAGCCACAUAGGCCAGGAUGGACCUGGCUGGCCCCUGACAGACUGUGAGACCCUAGCCCUGGGGAGCAGCUGGGAGCUCCCAGGCCAGCUCUCCCUGGGGGGUCAUCCCCACUGUAUGAGCCCUGUUCACUGGCCUCCCUCACAGGGCCCCUUCCAGCCCAGAUGACCCAGCUCCUUCUCCAUGACACUUCCCCUCGCCACUCUCUGGCCUCCCAUCAUGCUCCCCUCACUCUCUCGGGCACAGGCUCUGGCCAACAAAAAAACAAAACGAAACAAAAUCCCAAGCCUUGAAUUGACCCUGACGCUGGAGCACCCUCCGUCUUUCCAGUCACUGCCAUUGCUGCUGGAGGGCGGCACCCUCACCCACCACCCGCAUGGUCCUGCCUUUCCUGAUCUUCCUCUCGCCUCCGCUCUGCUGACACUGUGCUCUGUUCUCAAGGGGCUCCGUGACCCUCCUCUGGCCAAUGCCACUGCCUCUCAGCCCGGCUGCCCUCUGGAGCCCUCUGGGACCACUCGGUCUUGUCCCUUCUGCUGCAUCUCUGCCUGCCCCUGCCCCUAACCCCUUGGCAUGACACUGUUUGGUCCCUCUGUUCUCCUUCUUCAGAGAUGUUCUGUCAUCAGGUUUCCACCUCCGUGAAGUGACCCCUGUGCAGGCCACUCCCUCACCCACCCCUCCCAAGGUCUCUGCCUGGGGAACGUUCCCCUCGCACACCCCAGGUACUCAACCUCAAUUCACUUGUUCACUCCAUGAGUGUGCACUGAGUUCACUCCAUGAGUGUGUGCCAGGCACUGUGCUGGGUGCUGAUGGGCAGCAGCGAGCAGAAACCAGUUGGUUCCUGCACUCAAGGAGCUGCUGCUGGGGUGUGUGUGUGGGUGAACACAGACCCUGAACAAAUAAACAAGAAAAUAUCAGGAGGUGAACACCAUGAAUGAUUUAAAACAGGGUGACGGUGCCAGGGCACUUUGGGUUGGGUGGUCAGGAAAGGCCUCCUGCAGGAGGUGACAUUUCAGCUGGAACUGGAGUGACAAGAAGCCCCAGCCACGCUACGACCUGGGCGAAAGCAUGUAAGGCAAAGGGGGCAGCUGGGGCAAAAGCCAGGCCGGGCCCACUUUGACAGGCCAACCCAACCGUCACCUUUCUGAGCUCCCGCCCUGCAGUCAUGGCAUCUCGGACUCAACCGUACUGUCCACCCCACUCCAGGACGUGCCAGGACAUUCUCUCAGCACCCUGGGCAGGGGGUUACAUGGGCUUGCCUUCCACACCUCCAGCGACUAGAAACACACCGCCUCUCGCCGGGACCGUUCUGCCUCUCUCGUUUUGCUGAGCUAGAGGUUCAGCUGAACCCAGCAACUGUUCCGGUGCUCCAGGGAGAUUCCUGGGCAUCCAGUGACUUUCGUUUGGAGAACCCCUCCCCCAUCCAGCCCAAACCCGGGCUCCCAGGGCCUGCUCGUGAGCCAGGCCUGGCCCAUCAGAGUUCCUGUGACUGAGCCACUGAGAGGUGGCCUUGGGGCCUUGGCUGGAACUACCAGCAGUGUGUGUAACAGCCUUUCCAGCGAGGCCGCUAAUCUGGCAGGAGGUGAUCCUACAGCUGCUGGUGGCCAUCCUACCUCCUGUGAGAAAGCCUGGAGGAUGAAACAAGCAGAGAUGGAGGAUGAAAACAGAGCCCUGACAACACCCAGAGCCCGCCAUGUCCGAACCUCCAGCCCCUGGACCGUUUGGUAGGUGGGUUGGUUGGUCAGUUGUGUGAGUCAAUAAAAUCCCUUUUGCCUCAGUCAGUUUGAGCUGGGCUUCUGAGUCUAGCACCCAACAGUCCUAGCUGAUUCCCUCAGGAUGGAA